CAGCCGCCACGGUAAUACGAAGGGGGCUAGCGUUGCUCGGAAUGACUGGGCGUAAAGGGCGCGUAGGCGGUGAGUUAAGUCUGCUGUGAAAUCCCCGGGCUCAACCUGGGAAUGGCAGUGGAUACUGGCUCGCUAGAGUGUGUCAAAGGAUGGUGGAAUUCCCGGUGUAGCGGUGAAAUGCGUAGAGAUCGGGAGGAACAUCAGUGGCGAAGGCGGCCAUCUGGGACAACACUGACGCUGAGGCACGAAAGCGUGGGGAGCAAACAGGAUUAGAUACCCGUGUAGUCCCUGUCUCUUAUAC
rnacentral:rRNA from 1 species